GUCUUUAAGCUUUUGUCACAGGGUUUCCCCCAGUGUAUAAUAGGCCUGGCAGCCCGCCAUCCUUUACUAGCGCCACCGCCAGGCUAAGCCUUUCUUGUUUAUAUUUUUAGGAAAAUAAAAACAAA